rnacentral:tRNA from 1 species
AGGGUUGUGGCUUAGUAGUAGAACACUUGCCUGUCAUGCAGGAAUCCCUAGGUUCGAUCCCUAGCACUGCAA